rnacentral:rRNA from 1 species
ACUGGGACUGAGACACGGCCCAGACUCCUACGGGAGGCAGCAGUAGGGAAUUUUCGGCAAUGGGGGAAACCCUGACCGAGCAACGCCGCGUGAAGGAAGAAGGUUUUCGGAUUGUAAACUUCUGUUAUAAAGGAAGAACGGCGGCUACAGGAAAUGGUAGCCGAGUGACGGUACUUUAUUAGAAAGCCACGGCUAACUACGUGCCAGCAGCCGCGGUAAUACGUAGGUGGCAAGCGUUAUCCGGAAUUAUUGGGCGUAAAGAGGGAGCAGGCGGCAGCAAGGGUCUGUGGUGAAAGCCUGAAGCUUAACUUCAGUAAGCCAUAGAAACCAGGCAGCUAGAGUGCAGGAGAGGAUCGUGGAAUUCCAUGUGUAGCGGUGAAAUGCGUAGAUAUAUGGAGGAACACCAGUGGCGAAGGCGACGAUCUGGCCUGCAACUGACGCUCAGUCCCGAAAGCGUGGGGAGCAAAUAGGAUUAGAUACCCUAGUAGUCCACGCCGUAAACGAUGAGUACUAAGUGUUGGAUGUCAAAGUUCAGUGCUGCAGUUAACGCAAUAAGUACUCCGCCUGAGUAGUACGUUCGCAAGAAUGAAACUCAAAGGAAUUGACGGGGGCCCGCACAAGCGGUGGAGCAUGUGGUUUAAUUCGAAGCAACGCGAAGAACCUUACCAGGUCUUGACAUCCUUUGACCACUCUAGAGAUAGAGCUUUCCCUUCGGGGACAAAGUGACAGGUGGUGCAUGGUUGUCGUCAGCUCGUGUCGUGAGAUGUUGGGUUAAGUCCCGCAACGAGCGCAACCCUUAUCGUUAGUUACCAUCAUUAAGUUGGGGACUCUAGCGAGACUGCCAGUGACAAGCUGGAGGAAGGCGGGGAUGACGUCAAAUCAUCAUGCCCCUUAUGACCUGGGCUACACACGUGCUACAAUGGAUGGUGCAGAGGGAAGCGAAGCCGCGAGGUGAAGCAAAACCCAUAAAACCAUUCUCAGUUCGGAUUGUAGUCUGCAACUCGACUACAUGAAGUUGGAAUCGCUAGUAAUCGCGAAUCAGCAUGUCGCGGUGAAUACGUUCUCGGGCCUUGUACACACCGCCCGUCACACCACGAGAGUUGAUAACACCCGAAGCCGGUGGCCUAACCGCAAGGAAGGAGCUGUCUAAGGUGGGAUUGAUGAUUGGGGUGAAGUCGUAACAAGGUAUCCCUACGGGAACGUGGGGAUG